rnacentral:rRNA from 1 species
UACGUAGGGGGCAAGCGUUGUCCGGAUUUAUUGGGCGUAAAGAGCGUGUAGGCGGCCAUACAGGUCAGCUGUGAAAACUCGAGGCUCAACCUCGAGACGUCGGUUGAAACCGUAUGGCUAGAGUCCGGAAGAGGAGAGUGGAAUUCCCGGUGUAGCGGUGAAAUGCGCAGAUAUCGGGAAGAACACCCGUGGCGAAGGCGGCUCUCUGGGACGGUACUGACGCUGAGACGCGAAAAGCGUGGGUAGCAAACAGG